rnacentral:lncRNA from 1 species
GAAGCACUCAGUACUUUAUGAAAAAGACUGCCCCCAGUGGCUAAAAAGACAUGCCCAGACUAGUAGACCAGGGUCGUAUGUACCACCUUGAUGCACCCAGUGCGCUCACCACUCCUGUCCUUAUCGAGGAUAUGCUUUAUAUCCAUAAUACUUCUUCUAGAGCUCUAAUUGAUACAAGUGCUACCAAUUCUUUCAUUUCUUGUUCAUUUGCUUGUAAAUUAGGUAUUAGGCUUGAACCUU